rnacentral:rRNA from 1 species
AACGAACGCUGGCGGCAUGCCUAACACAUGCAAGUCGAACGAGACCUUCCUGUUUAGUGGCGCACGGGUGCGUAACGCGUGGGAACCUGCCCUUAGGUUCGGAAUAACUCCCCGAAAGGUGUGCUAAUACCGGAUAAUGUCUUCGGACCAAAGAUUUCUCGCCUUUGGAUGGGCCCGCGUUGGAUUAGCUAGUUGGUAGGGUAAAAGCCUACCAAGGCGACGUUCCAUAGCUGGUUUGAGAGGAUGAUCAGCCACACUGGGACUGAGACACGGCCCAGACUGCGACGGGAGGCAGCAGUGGAGAAUAUUGGAGAAUGGGCGAAAGCCUGAUAAAGCAAUGCCGCGUAAGUGAUGAAGGCCUUAGGGUUGUAAAGCUGUUUUAGCCGAGAUGAUAAUGGCAGUACCGGGAGAAUAAGCUCCGGCUAACUCCGUG